rnacentral:lncRNA from 1 species
GGAAAAGUUGCAUAGGAAUACCUGGAAGCCGUGAGAAAUUUGAGGAGGAAAGAUGCAUGAUCCAUGAAGCUCGAACUCGGUUGUGAUGCUAACUCCUAAGAAAGACUCGAACACUCAAAACAAAAAGUAAAAGUAAAAAGGAACUAGAACAAGUGUCCAAGCCCCACACAUAACAAAAUGCAUUUAUGAUCCGACAAAAAAGAAAAUAAAAAAAGUCUAAAGUAGAACAAUUAACACCGAAACAUGCAAUUUGACUCAAAUACA